rnacentral:rRNA from 1 species
UACAGAGGGUGCAAGCGUUGUUCGGAAUUACUGGGCGUAAAGGGCGCGUAGGCGGCCUGGUAAGUAGGGGGUGAAAUCCUGCGGCUUAACCGCAGGGCUGCCUUCUAAACUGUCAGGCUCGAGCACAGUAGAGGCAGGUGGAAUUCCCGGUGUAGCGGUGGAAUGCGUAGAGAUCGGGAAGAACAUCAGUGGCGAAGGCGGCCUGCUGGGCUGUUGCUGACGCUGAGGCGCGACAGCGUGGGGAGCAAACAGG